UACAGAGGGUGCAAGCGUUAAUCGGAAUUACUGGGCGUAAAGCGCACGUAGGUGGAAAAGUAAGUUGGAUGUGAAAUCCCCGGGCUUAACCUGGGAACUGCAUUCAAAACUGCUUUUCUAGAGUAUAGUAGAGGGGAGUGGAAUUUCCGGUGUAGCGGUGAAAUGCGUAGAUAUCGGAAGGAACACCAGUGGCGAAGGCGACUCCCUGGACCAGCACUGACACUGAGGCACGAAAGCGUGGGGAGCAAACAGG
rnacentral:rRNA from 1 species